rnacentral:rRNA from 1 species
CCCCUAGAUGUUCUGGGCCGCACGCGCGCUACACUGACGAAUGCAACGAGCUUAUAACCUUGGCCGAAAGGUUUGGGUAAUCUCCAAAUUUCGUCGUGAUGGGGAUAGAUUAUUGCAAUUAUUAAUCUUCAACGAGGAAUGCCUAGUAAGCGCAAGUCAUCAGCUUGCGUUGAUUACGUCCCUGCCCUUUGUACACACCGCCCGUCGCUCCUACCGAUUGAAUGGUCCGGUGAAGCGUUCGGACCGUGGCCUUUGGACGGUUCGCCGUCUGUUGGCUGCGGGAAGUUCGUUAAACCUUAUCAUUUAGAGGAAGGAGAAGUCGUAACA